rnacentral:rRNA from 1 species
AAAUUGAAGAGUUUGAUCAUGGCUCAGAUUGAACGCUGGCGGCAGGCCUAACACAUGCAAGUCGAACGGUAACAGGAAGAAGCUUGCUUCUUUGCUGACGAGUGGCGGACGGGUGAGUAAUGUCUGGGAAACUGCCUGAUGGAGGGGGAUAACUACUGGAAACGGUAGCUAAUACCGCAUAACGUCGCAAGACCAAAGAGGGGGACCUUCGGGCCUCUUGCCAUCGGAUGUGCCCAGAUGGGAUUAGCUAGUAGGUGGGGUAACGGCUCACCUAGGCGACGAUCCCUAGCUGGUCUGAGAGGAUAACCAGCCACACUGGAACUGAGACACGGUCCAGACUCCUACGGGAGGCAGCAGUGGGGAAUAUUGCACAAUGGGCGCAAGCCUGAUGCAGCCAUGC